UCCUUCUCCUCCUCCUGCGUUUCUCUCCCUCCCUCUCUCUUUUCUGUACUGUGUUGGCCAACACACACUCUCUUUCCCUCUGUCUGUGUCCUUGCCUCUCCCUGUGCUUUCUCCCUUUAUAGGACACGGGUAGGUGUGGAUCCCCACAGGCUAGGUCUCGGGAGCCAGGAAGAAGUAGGAGGGGAUGAAAAUUAUGUGGGGUCGUGGGUGCGAGAGUGGAGGCAGGUAUUGUAAAAUAUCUAGCACGGUAGCAUGUUGGACAGUGAUGGCUCUUCCAUAGGUGGUUUGCUGUUCUUGCAGAGGCCCGCUCAAGGCCAAUGGAGCCGCCCCAGACAGAGGAGAAGCAUCUGGAGGAACCAGACCUGCACAAUCUAGAUGUUUUUCACUUGGCAGUGGAGCUAAGGAGUGCUCUCGUGAUAUUCGAGGAGCAGAAAAGCUUGGAUCCAGGAGGAUGAUUCCAGCUGCGCUGGUACAGGAAUUGUCCAGGAACCCUACCCGGAGGAGAGACUCUCAGAAGUGAACCUGAUCAGCCUGAACAUUCUUCUAAGCAGACAUGAACAGUCCUCAGCUUUCUCCCUCCUGCAUAAAUGGCUAAAAAGAAGUCAUUUGCCAGUCUACUGCCCUCAUGUGAUGGAAAGCGAGCGAGAGCGAUGAGACCCGUGAGCAUGUUGAUGCCACGCAAAAGCCGUCCAUCUGGCAGCAGAAGAGCCGUCGCUGUCAGUGAGAUAAGUGUCUGUUUUGGUGAGGGCUCUGCUCAUGGCCCACGUUGAUGCUGGUAGGGAUGCCCCGUUAGCUAGGGCUGGGUUUGUAAGAAAAGGUUCCUGACUAGCUGUGGUUGUAAGAGAGACAAGGUUCCCAAUUUCAGGGGCUGAUGAUUCCUCUGGUCAGGAGCAGUGUGACCUACGCAGCAGAAGGUAGCAUCUAGAGGAUGACUCCAGGUGUCGAGUUACUUGCCUUCCUCCCAUGUUUCUCUGUCUUCUCUAUUGUGUUGGCCAACACUCUCGCUCUUUCAUUCUCCCUUCCUUGCCUUUCCUGGUGCCGUCUCCCUACGUAGGACGCGGGAAAAGGGUGCUAGGUGUGUAUCCGCACAGUCUACGUCUUUGGGACCCAUGAAAAAUUAGGAGGGUAUGAAAAUCAUGGAUAUUAGUGGGUGCCACAGUGGAGCAGUGCCUGUGGGUGUUGACUUGGUCUUUAAUCAUCGCCUGGGGCUGAUGUAGACCAAAUGAGAGAGGGAGGCAGAGAUUAGGGCAAGAUUUCACAUACCUUCAGAGCUUUGUGUAAUGCUGACUCAUCCUUGGCUUUUGCAACUGCACUGGCAGAGGAAUUGUCCAGGAGCGCUGUCUGGAGGAGAGACUCUCAAAAGUGGACCUGAACAUCCUUCUAAGCAGACAUGAACAGUCCUCAGCUUUCUGCCUCCUGCAUAACUGGCUUACCAAGGGAAAAGAAGUCACGUAUCAGUCUACUGUCCUCAUGCGAAGGAAAGCGAGACCGACGAGACCGCGAUCAUUGUCGAAAUCGGGCAUUAGCUGUACAUCUGGGAGCGGAGCAGUCACCGCUGUCAGUGAGAUAAAUGUCUGGUUUGGUGAGGGAUCUGCUCAUGGCCCACCUGGCUCCAGUUUGCAGCGGAAUUGUGCAGGAGUCUCAGCUGGAGAAGAAGCUGUCAGAAGUGGACCUGAACUGCCUGGACAUCCUUCUAAGGAGACAUGAACAGUCCUCAGCUUUCUGCAUUAUGGAUAACUGGCUAUGAGUAAGAACAGUCACACAUCAGAGUCUACUGUCCUCAUGCGAUGGAAAUUUGCAGAGGAAUCGUCCAGGAGCCCCAGCCGGAUGAGAAUAUCAGAAGUGGACCUGAGCAGCCUGGACAUCCUUCUAAGGAAACAAGAAUAGUCCUCAGGUUUCUGCCUUCUGCAUAACUGGCUUACCAAGGAAAAAGACGUCACAUGUCAAAGUCUACUGUCCUUAUGAGUGAGAGUGACGAGACUGCGAGCGUUGUUGGUGCCAGGCAGGAGCCGUCCAUCUGGGAGCAGAACAGCUGCUACUAUCACUGAGAUAAGUGUCUGUUUUGCUGAGGGUUCUGCUCACGGCCCACCUGGCUACAGGUAGAGACACCCCAUUAGGUGGAGUGGGUUUGUAAGAAAAGGUUCCUGACUAGCUGUGGUUUUGAGGGAGACACGGUCCCCAUUUUCAGGGGCUGAUUUCUCUGGCCAGGAUCGGUGUGUCCUCGGCAGGAGAAGGUUAGAUCCAUGAGGGAUGACUCCAGGUGGUGAGUUGCUUGCCUUCCUCCUCUGUUUCUCUCUCUGUCUUCUCUACUCUACUGUGUUGGCCAACACACACACACACACACACACUCUCUCUCUCUCUCUCUCUCUCUCUCUCUCUCUCGGCUGUCUCCCUUCAUAGGGCACGGGCAGGAGUGCUAUGUGUGCAUCCCCUCAGGCUAGGUCUCGGGAGCUAUGAACAAGUAGGAGGGGACGAAAAUCAUGCAUCGAAGUGGGCGCUAGAGUGGAGGGGUGACUGUAGAUGUUGACUGUCUCUCUUCAAGUGGGCCUGAUGUAGAUAGGCAGGGAUGAGGGCAAGAUUACCUGCACCAAUUGAAUUUUGUGUAGUGAUGGCUCUUGCUUCGCUCAUUUCCUGCGCUUGCAGAGGAAUUGUCCAGGAGCAGCAGCUGAAGGAGAAAGUGGCAGACGCGGACCGGAGGAGCCUGGACAUCCUUCUAAGCAGACAUGAAAGGUCCUCAGAUUUCUGCCUCCCGCACAACUGGCUGUGAGUAAGCGGUCAGUGCUUGGAAUCCCUCAUCUGUACUGGCUCCGGUUUUGUUCAGAGGCUCUGAAUUUCUUCAUUGGACAUGGUGCUCUGUGGGAUUCAGACGAAGCAAAGGCACAAGUCUUCUGUGCAAAUGCUGGGUUUAGUACCAAGUGCAGAGUCAGAGUCCACUCCGCACAUGCUAUGGAAAGGGAGCGAGAGCUGGGAGAUUCUAAGCAUUGUUGAUGCCAGGGAAGAGCCAUCCAGCUGGGAGUGGAGCAAGGACCACUGUCAGUGAGAUAAGUGUCUUGUUAGGUGAAGGCUCUGCUGUGGUUACAAGGGAGACAAGGUCCCUAUUUUCAGGGGCUGCUCAGUCCUCUGGCCAGUACAGGUGUGUCCUCUGCAGCGGAAGGUUGUGGAUCCAGGAGGAUGACUCCAGGUGACAAGUUGCUUGCCUGCCUUCCUCCCGUGUUUCUCAUUUUCUCGCUCUGUCUCUUUAGUGUGUUGGCCAACACUCUCUCUUAAUCUGUCCUGUCCUUUCCUUGUGCCAUCUCCCUUCUUAGGACACAGGCAGGCCUGUGAGGUGUGCAUCUCCACAGGUUAGGUCUUGAAAGCCCUGGAGUAGUAGGAGGGGACGAAAACCAUGCGGGGUAGUGGGUGCGAGAGUGGAGCAGUGACUGUCAGUGUUGAAUCGGUCUCUGUUCAAGUGGGGCUGAUGUAGAUGGGUGGAAGAGGGAGGCAGGAUUGAGGGCAACAUUUCAAGCACCAUUAGAACUGUGUGUAGAGAUGGCGCAUGCUUGGCUUUUGCAGCUGCAUUUCCAGAGGAAUUGUCCAGGAGCUUGAGCCGGAGGAGAAACUGGCAGAGGUGGAUCUGAGCAGCUUGGACAUGGUUCUAACCAGACAGGAACAGUCCUCAGCUUUCUGCCUUCUGAACACCUGGCUGUGAGUAAGCGGUCAGUGCUUUCAAUUCCUUAUCUGUACUCGCUGUAGUUUACUUCACAGGCCUUGUGCUUCCUCCUUGGGUACCGGGCACAGUGGUAUUAAGGCUGGGAAAGGGACAGGAGUCUCCUGAGCAAAGUGACUAUUUUGGGUGCAGUUACAAUGGAUCCCUUCUAGUUGCAGAUGUAUAGUAGUAAUAGAAGAUGGUUUGAUGGCGGAGCCGUGGGAUAUGGGAGAUGAAGAGACUACGUGACAUUGCAGAUGGAGAUGCUAAUUUAUUUGUUUUUU